GUAACAGGAAGCAGCUUGCUGCUUCGCUGACGAGUGGCGGACGGGUGAGUAAUGUCUGGGAAACUGCCUGAUGGAGGGGGAUAACUACUGGAAACGGUAGCUAAUACCGCAUAACGUCGCAAGACCAAAGAGGGGGACCUUCGGGCCUCUUGCCAUCGGAUGUGCCCAGAUGGGAUUAGCUAGUAGGUGGGGUAACGGCUCACCUAGGCGACGAUCCCUAGCUGGUCUGAGAGGAUGACCAGCCACACUGGAACUGAGACACGGUCCAGACUCCUACGGGAGGCAGCAGUGGGGAAUAUUGCACAAUGGGCGCAAGCCUGAUGCAGCCAUGCCGCGUGUAUGAAGAAGGCCUUCGGGUUGUAAAGUACUUUCAGCGGGGAGGAAGGCGACAGGGUUAAUAACCCUGUCGAGUGACGUUACCC
rnacentral:rRNA from 1 species